AUGUCUUCACAGAAAGUUUUCUCAUUGAAAGGUGGCAUUAAAUUCAGUUUAGCAAAGGACAGAGAAGAGGAUUUAAGGACAGGCAGAUCCUCAGCAUGGUUCAGAAACGCUUGGUUUAUCUGUGUCUCUGAAUCUGCAUUAAAUCUCCACCUGGAAAAUGCUGAACAGAAAAUGGGUACAACCUCACAUCUUAUGAAGAUGAUCUCAUUCCUAGCUUUCACAUCUUAUGAAGAUGAUCUCAUUCCUAGCUUGGUGCUCUGGAUCCAAAGCUUAUCUUUCCAGCAGGCUCUGGCUGAGAUUCUAUUCACCUGGUGAAACAAUGAAUCCCCAGAGGAUAUCCAGUCAGAGCCAAGGGAGAGCAACACGUGUCAAGGCACUGGGAGGCCAUCCAAGAGGGCAUUGCAGAGGCACUGAAUACAUGGCAUUGCUGUUAACAUUUUGGCAGACCAGGAAGAAGGGGAAAAAAAGAAAAGUACCAGGGGGAUUCCUACUGGCUUACUGUCCAGUUGCUCCCAAGUCCUUGCUUAAUCUAGAAAGGACAAGGUGA
rnacentral:lncRNA from 1 species